GAGACGCGAGGGGAGGAGGAAGCAAAUUAAUACGGGCGAGCAAGAGGGUCCAGCUAACGAACGAACCGACGCCAAGUCUAGUGCCGACCAGCGCCGCGACGCCUCGCAAUCCUCUCUCUUCAUGUCUCUUCUCUUCUCUUCUAUUCUCUCGCCCUUCGUAUUCAACGAACAGGGCUCUCUGUUGUUUGACGAGCGCGGUUCGUCUGGAUCGUCUCUCGAAUCUCGCCACCCGGUAAUAACGUAACCGAUUGGAUCAGCUGAAGGGUGAGACGCGGUCACGUAACGAGUGAGCAGUGUGAGUCCGUGAGUCGAUGGACCAAUCGCCUCGCUCUCGCGGAGGAGGCCAUCCGUGUCGUUGUCCCGUUCAGCGCGAUCCUUUCGCGGUGACGGUGAAGUGUGAAAGUAUAUCUUUGCUUUGAUGAUACUGGCCAUGACAGUGAAGGAUGGGAUUCUCCUUCGUCUUUGUUUCAUACCGCGGCCGACUGUACAAAAGUGCACGUACGUGAUGAGACAAUGAUUUUGUUUGCUGCAAAAUAGCCGAUCGCAGGAAUGGCAGUAAGAAGUCGGAAUGACGGUAGAGUAGGUGUGUUUGAAAUCAUGCAGGAUUUAGUCAAUAUCGUUCGCCAGGUUCUCCGGAGCUCAGCGGAUCGCGACGCACCACGUCACGCGACCUUGACUUCCCAUGGCAUCGAAACGCUAAGAGGUUUACCUUGGUAAACCCUAGUAUCUCGGGAUACCACUCGGGGUCUCGGUCGAGGGAUUAAGACGGGGUUGUUGAACAGGACGACACGGGAGGAACGGCAGGGAUGGGGGGAGGGGAAGAACAGAGAGGGGAUAGAGAGUGAGAAAGGGAAAGGCGACUACAGUAAUCGUACGCCCGUAUAAUUGAUCGAGUUUAAUGAGUUAAAGAGGAUGCUACAGUAUUGAUGGCGAAAAUUAAAGAGUUCUGGGUCACGGAGGCGGCGAUAAUCUCGGAACAGAGAAAGUACGGAACUUAGGUAGUUGUCCUCCUCCACUUCCCUCUCCGCUCCCACCCCUCCGGCAUCUCACUCGUCAUCCACAGGCAUGGGAGGAAGCCCUGAUUGUAAAUUAGUUAAAGGAGAUGCUUCAUUAGGCGCUGUCUUGGUUCUUGAAGCUGCAGUUUCCCCGCGUUUAACUGUUUUUAAAGGGGCUCGCGGCAUAAUAACUGGUCGCGCAUAAACCGCUCGAUAUACGUAACAAUAUACUUGAAGAUAUCUCCUCUCUCUGACCCGUUUAAUUGCUCUAGGCAUACAUAAUUAUUCGAUGAUUGAGAGAAAUAAGCAAGCAAAUAUAUGACUAUGUGGCAUAUCUAAAUCUAAAGUAGCUGUCGCAAGGUAGAUAAUUAAAUCUGGGAUUAACAAGGCUGUGAUUAAUUCGAAAGGUUAGAUUGAUCGAAGUAAUGAGUGCUUGUAAUUCCCUCUCAUAUGUUCCGACAUUUAAAUGUCGAAUCCGACUUGAGGAAAAUCAGCAUGUACCAUGCGUAAAGGUAAAUUACCGAAAGCUCUAUCGAGCCGUUUACACAUUUCUUUCGUCUAUACGAUAUUACUUUUUGGCUGGCUUCGUCUUCGACGUCUUUUCAAUUUGACGCAAGAGGGAUGAAAAAAGAGAGAUGAGAAAAGUGGCGCGGGCAAGAGAUAGGUGGAUGGAAAGACGACGGUUAGCUGCGUCCGGAGGCACGCGAGAAGCAAUAGUGUCUUGCGCGCAUCCCCUAGGGAAAUUAUUGACAGUCAGCGAGGAAAUGACGUCGUAAAUACCAUGCCGAGGCGAAGCAACCGCCCGCUUCAGGGCCUCUUCGCUUCGCGUUCCUCUCUCUCUCUUUCUUUUUUUUUCUCUUCCUUUUUCUUCUCCGUCGGCUUCCACUUUGUCCCGUCGUCUUUAUCCUGCCGCGAUGUUGUUUUCAGCGACCGUGGUUCCGCGGCGCGGGGCGGAAAAAUACACGUGUCGGGCCAGCGCCUAUUUACGGACACCAUAACACGGCGGUUACGGCGGAUAAUAUUAAGAGUGAACGGGUACGCGCCGACCUGCCGGUCGUCUGCUUAGAUCACGUCGAGGUGGUGGUUUCUUCGGAUGAGAAACACGGAUUUCUUUGUUAAGAAAUUUGUUGACCGCUAGUAAUGUUUUCUACGGAUAUCUCUCGUUUUGAAAAUGAGAGUUUGCAAUGAGUCUACAAUUUAAUGGUAUCCAAUAACGUUGAAUUUAUCGUGAUUUUUGUUUCUGCAGUUACUCAAAUUUGUAUUAAUAUUGUAUUACAUUUUGUGGAAUUAAUUAAUUGUAAAUGUUUUGCGCACAUAUCACUCUUAUACGCUCUCUUUAUUAUU